CUCCCGCUUGCGGGGGUGAUUAGUGGCGAACGGGUGAGUAAUACGUGAGUAACCUGCCCUUGACUCUGGGAUAAGCCUGGGAAACCGGGUCUAAUACUGGAUACGACCCCCUGUCGCAUGGUGGGGGGUGGAAAGGGUUUGACUGGUUUUGGAUGGGCUCACGGCCUAUCAGCUUGUUGGUGGGGUAAUGGCUCACCAAGGCGACGACGGGUAGCCGGCCUGAGAGGGUGACCGGCCACACUGGGACUGAGACACGGCCCAGACUCCUACGGGAGGCAGCAGUGGGGAAUAUUGCACAAUGGGCGGAAGCCUGAUGCAGCGACGCCGCGUGAGGGAUGACGGCCUUCGGGUUGUAAACCUCUUUCAGCAGGGAAGAAGCCACAAGUGACGGUACCUGCAGAAGAAGCGCCGGCUAACUACGUGCCAGCAGCCGCGGUAAUACGUAGGGCGCAAGCGUUGUCCGGAAUUAUUGGGCGUAAAGAGCUCGUAGGCGGUUUGUCGCGUCUGCUGUGAAAGCCCGGGGCUCAACCCCGGGUCUGCAGUGGGUACGGGCAGACUAGAGUGCAGU
rnacentral:rRNA from 1 species